GACGAACGCUGGCGGCGUGCUUAACACAUGCAAGUCGAACGGAAAGGCCCUGCUUGCAGGGUACUCGAGUGGCGAACGGGUGAGUAACACGUGGGUGAUCUGUCCUGCACUUCGGGAUAAGCCUGGGAAACUGGGUCUAAUACCGGAUAGGAGCCUUUUUUAGUGUGAUGGUUGGAAAGUUUUUUCGGUGUAGGAUGAGCUCGCGGCCUAUCAGCUUGUUAGUGGGGUAAUGGCCUACCAAGGCGGCGACGGGUAGCCGGCCUGAGAGGGUGGACGGCCACAGUGGGACUGAGAGACGGCGCAGACGCCUACGGGAGGCAGCAGUGGGGAGUAUUGCACAAUGGGCACGAGCCUGAUGCGGAGGCGCCGCGAGGGGGAUGACGGGCUUCGGGUUAAAAACUCCUUUCGCUAGGGACAGAGCUUUUUGUGACGGUACCUAAAUAAGAAGCGCCGGCUAACUACGUG
rnacentral:rRNA from 1 species